rnacentral:lncRNA from 1 species
CCGUUCUAAGUCCACGUUUGCACCCUUUCCGACCUGACGUCCUUGGCCAAAUACCACGUUAGUGCACGGUGAGAGCCCUUACAUCUAUGGGUGAAGUUGGUGUUUCUAUUUGAUAAUAUCAAAGAGUUUUACUAUAGUUUUUGUUUAAUUAAUGAUGUACGUUGUGUUUUUGGUUUCGGUUUUUCUGAUAAGCCGGAUCAACUAUUUAGAUAGUGUGUGUAUCAGCCUGUCAAGUCAUUGAUAGUGAAAUGUCUUUUGUUUCCCGAUCUGCCCCUAGCUAUUAUUUUGAUUUUGUUGCCAAGUCCUUGUCAGAGCUGGGUUAUUAGUUUUGUGCGUUUUCUAGACGACACGAGUAAUUAGAUGGAUAACUCUCCGG